GACGAACGCUGGCGGCGUGCCUAAUACAUGCAAGUAGAACGCUGAAGGAGGAGCUUGCUUCUCCGGAUGAGUUGCGAACGGGUGAGUAACGCGUAGGUAACCUGCCUGGUAGCGGGGGAUAACUAUUGGAAACGAUAGCUAAUACCGCAUAAGAGUAGAUGUUGCAUGACAUUUGCUUAAAAGGUGCAAUUGCAUCACUACCAGAUGGACCUGCGUUGUAUUAGCUAGUUGGUGAGGUAACGGCUCACCAAGGCGACGAUACAUAGCCGACCUGAGAGGGUGAUCGGCCACACUGGGACUGAGACACGGCCCAGACUCCUACGGGAGGCAGCAGUAGGGAAUCUUCGGCAAUGGACGGAAGUCUGACCGAGCAACGCCGCGUGAGUGAAGAAGGUUUUCGGAUCGUAAAGCUCUGUUGUAAGAGAAGAACGAGUGUGAGAGUGGAAAGUUCACACUGUGACAGUAUCUUACCAGAAAGGGACGGCUAACUACGUG
rnacentral:rRNA from 1 species